AAUCACCUGCAUCACUAUACUGAGAGCUUUUCAGUUUCUAAAAGGACGUAUUUGGGUGUUUUUUCAGAGCCCCCAUACUGCACAACGAGGAUAAGGAAGUGAAUCGCUGGUUGGGGUGGUACAAAAUCUGAUUCCACCAGCAUGCGUUUCCAACUCCUAGCUCUGCACAAAACGAAGGUUAUCUGGAGUCCUUCCACAGGCCCUGAUGAAAAAUACUCCAAAGCGGCAGCAUUUUGGGUACACGAGCAUGAGGGACCGGACACACCAUGCGGU